AUAGUCAUUCUCUCAUAACCAAGCAAAAGAUUGAAGUAUUUUUUUCUAAAAACAAAAUGAAGAAACCCAAACAAGAAAGGAGCUUGAAUCAAUAGAUACAAACAGGUGGAUAAUAGUAGCAAAAUGUUACCUUCCCACUGCCUGCAGGACCAAUUACAAGUUGCGCGUAACCCAUUGUAGCCCUUUGAAACUGCUAGCUGCUCUAAUCAAAAUGAACAGAGAGAGCUGAAGAUGCGAAAGUAAGAGAGAACUGCGACGGUAAUAUAAGCAGUACACCAAACACCAACGGCAAACAACAAGUUUAGGACAUGAGAAGUAGCCAUUAAGACCGCUGAGGGAGACCCAACAUUUGUAGAAUCUGAUAUAAUCAUUAAUCACAAAAAACAUUAUGUAAACUUUAUCUCUACAAAACUAAAGGCAACCAUUUCGCAGUUCCUACUGUAAAACCAAAAUUCAACUACAUGCUUUGCAAAUCAUUCAAUUGGGUUAAUUAAGAUUAAGAAGCUUAAACAUAAUAACUCGAAAAAAAAUAACAAUGAAAGAAACAAAUUGUUACAGUCCAACAGAGAAAGCACACGAAUUGAAGCUUGAAUUAGAGGUUACCUUACGUAUGCGAGUUGAUUGAAAAUGGAAAAAAAUAGAAAGUAGGAUUAGGAUUUCGGGUUUAGAAUAUGAAGAUGGAGUGCUACUGCAGCAAGCAGAAAGCUUUUUGGCAUGUGGACGAAGAGAAUAAGUCCUAUUUGGCUGCCUUUAGGGUUUAAUAAUCCACCUAACGAUAACGACGAAGGAAAAAAAAAAAAACAGAGAGAGA
rnacentral:lncRNA from 1 species